UCUAACUCCAGUUCCAGGGGACCCAUCCAAUACCCUCUUCUGGCCUCUGUGGACAUACACACACUCAGGCACACAUGAAUAUGCAUAGGGUAAAUAGAUCGAUUUAAUUUUAUAAAAGUGUUGACUUGAGACAUCCGUCAUUGAGCUGCCCGAAUGCCCUCUGAGCAUGCACCACGUCUGCGCUCAUUCAUCAGAUCACAACUGUGACCCCAGGCCUCAGGCCAUGAAGGCAGGAGGCUGAGACACUCAAGGUCAUCCUCAGCCACACUGAGUCUGAGGCCAGCCUGGGCUGUCUGAGCAGACUGUGGACACCCAGUUAGCCCCUGGACACUGCUGUCCAGUUGCGCACGGCGAGCAGGCCCCUCGGCCUCUCUAGGCCUGUUCCUUCUAGCCAGCUGUGGAGAGCGCCCCGUGCACCCGCCUCGUCCUGUGUGUAAGCAGAGCACACUCAAAACCACAAGGGACAAGCAGAAGCUCAGCGACUACAGCCAUCUGCUUCUCCGUGAAAUUCCGAUAGUUGUCCCAGUGCAAAGACCUAAUUUAAUGUAUGCAUAUUCCAUCGUUAAUGUCCAGCAAUUCAGCUCCCUUGUACUCUGCAGUAGACUGACUAAAAGUGACUUUGACACCCCUUUGGUGCCUACGAAAGGGACGAUGUGGGCGCUGUGCCAGCCAGGGUGCUGUCAGAACCUGCUCUAUGGCUUGCGGUGCCAUCAGCUUUCCUUCCUAAAAACCUCCAGCUACUCAAUGUUACAAAACGGCCACACAGAACAUCUGGGAGCUGAUGAAAUUAAAUCGAGAGAGUGAGAAACGACCGCCUUGGAGCUGCUCCUUAGGAAACACCCGAUGACUCACCGUGAAAACCUCAAGCCACCAUUUCAUGCCCCUGUGGAAUCAAAAUGGUCCUUGUGAGUCUUGGGGCUUUCACAGCCAGAGCAGGAACAAUGAAGGAAGGCCCACACUGCCUGGCAGCUCACACUCCUCCCCUCCUCAAGUGACCCAGCUCGCACGUGAAGAUGAGGGUCAGAAGCUCAGAGACUGACCCACAUCGGCAGGUGCCUGGGCAAAUCUCUCAGGUUAAAGUGGAAUUAUUUUUAGCACUCGGCCAACAACCGUAUUAGGUCUGACACCUCAGCUUUCUUUCUUGUGUGGCGCUGGCGACUGAAGGGCGGCGGCGUGCAUGCUGGAUCCCUGCUCUAAACCGUGCUAGAGCGCUGGUCUCAAACUCAGAUCCCCUGCCUCCACUGCCCAAAGGCUGGGAUUAAAGGUUCCACGGUAGCAACCCCUUGGACUCCUAAGAACUUAGGAUUCGUCUCCAGCACCCACGCAGUGGCUCCCAACACCUGUGCAACUCCGGCUCCAAGGGACCCAGCACCCUCCCAGCCUCCAUGAGCAUGCACAUAUGACAUUCACUAAAGGUAUCUCUGUAUAGCCCUAGCUGUCCUGGAACUUAUGCUGCAGAGCGGGUUGACCUCGAACGCAGAGAUCUGCGCGUCUCUGACUCACGAAUAUUGGGACUAAAGGUGUCACUACCAGCGCCUGGCUUCGCUUUUUCGUAAGGCAUCUUCAAAGGACGUAUGUGACAGCACUGGCUUGACAUGAUGAACACAGGAAACUCUCUGGUGAGCUCAUAGGAAACAGAAGGAAGACAAUGGAGGAGGAGACAAUAGCAGCAGCUUCCUCCUCGUUGUGACCACCAGCAAGCCAGGCCUCCCUUUGGAGCAAUUCCAAACCAGCUGAUGGGAUGGGAUGAAGCCUGGCGUCUGUCUCAAAAUAACUGGGGGUGGAGGAGGGGGCGACAGAGGAGAGCCGGGUCAAGCUUGGUCGUGAAUGGAGUGUUGUUGAAACUGAAUGAGAGCUGUGCUCGCCUCUACCUUGACCGACUGGAAACUUCCCAUAAUACCAAGUUUAAGUACAGUGAUGGCGACACUAACAAUGUCAAAGAAAAAUCACUCGUGUGCCUGCUUCGUGAGCUUCCAGGUGAGGUUUGCAGUCAUGGGGGCCUAUGAACUUAGCAGCAGGCUGGGGGUGCAGGCAAGAGCCACAGGAGACACCCCUCACCUCACAGGAGCCAAUAGCGAAUUCUACCCUAAUCUUUAAGCAGGUGUAGGCAGGGAAGAACAAAGAAGGGGAGAAUGCUUACUGUCAUGCUUCUGAGGAACCCUUACUUCACAGGGCUUAUGUAACGAUUUAUGUUAAAACACAGAAUCAGAGAUUCCAGUCCUGGGCACACCAUCUGAUGAUGAAUCACGCAUUCUCUACUGCAUGCACAGGGAAAGAAUUUGCUCUUAACCAGGCCCUGGUCCAACAGCCACAUUAACUUAAAUUACAAAUCAGGGGGCUGAGUGGCUGGACAGUCCCUCCAACCAGCCACCUCGUGGAGCAGCACCACCUUUCAGAUACCUGUUGCCUUUAGCAGACGAAUCCCGGGCAAAAUGCCACAGGCUCAAUCAUUGAGGGGAAAAAGAAACUCAACAUUACUUCAGCUUUCCAAAAAAGCUAAAAAGGGAAAUUUACAUCUGGAGAGUGCUUACUAAUCUACCAGGGAAAGAGGUGGGCGCUCGGCCAGACUCAAGCAAGGGUCAGAGUAACCUACACCACAUGUAUUUAUGACACGCAGACCACAAGGAAGAGGGGAACCAAGCCUGAAUAAAGCUGUUAGUCAAAAUGCCUAUGUAAAGGACAAAACCCCCAAACUGCUGAAACUGUGACCGGGAAGACUCCUAAAGACACCCACAGAAGUCAGCACAGUGUUUCCCAGCAGCAGCAGCAGCAGCAGCAGCAGCAGCAGCAGCAGCAGCAGCAGCAGCAGCAGCAGCAGCAGCAGCAGCAGGGUCACCGUGUAUAGCAGUGCCGUGUGCUUGCAUUAGGAACUCCAGUCCUAGCAUGAAUGGAAAAUGUUUACAGGCCACUGAGGGAAGAAAACAGACCUUCUUUGUAAUGGCAUUUGGCUGUGCCUAGGGGGUCCUCUAAUUUUCAGACAGAGAAGGGCACGGGAAGGGACCUGUCUAACCGGGAGCUGAUCCUCCAUGUGACCACCGAGUGUGCAGAGAUCUGCUUGCUAUGAAACGUAAGACGGCCUGGAUUACAAAACACUCAGGGCCAGCAACAAGAACACGGCCUAGCAGCCUUCAGAGUUUGCUACUGAACACACAGAAAAGGUCUUUGGGUCUAAUGUAUUAAUUAAAUGUAUUAAAUAAAAUUAACUGCAUUCCAUUGA
rnacentral:sRNA from 1 species